rnacentral:lncRNA from 12 species
UAUUGUACACCUGAAACUUUUAUAACACUGUACACUAACUAAUUGGAAUUAAAAUAAAAAAUUAAAAAAAUUAUCAUUCCAAACCAAAAAAAAAAAAAAAAAGAAAAGAGAAAAGAGGUAGAGCAUUACCUUUCUAUUUCUUAUCUGUUCUUGCUCUCCUAAUUGGGUCUCUCCAUUUAUUGGAAUCUUUGGCUCAUGACUUUUUAACUUUAUUCCAUGGUUUAUGACUUGCAUUCUUCUCCUUGGCAGGGUCCUUGUUAUGACAGCCUUCCUGGAAACAAGAAUUGAGCUUUAUUCAGGAGAGUUCUGGGGUUUGCUCCUAGCCUUGUUGGAUAUAAUUCACCUCAUCAGGCUCCAGAUCCUCUCCAUAUCUGGACUGUAUUCCUGGAGCUGCAGAAAAACAGCUGGUGAUACAACUGAAAGAGUCUUCUGUGCCCUUCAGAUCUGCUGCUGUGUCUUCCUGUUCCAGACCAGCUGCCACCUGCAGUCAUGUACCCUGGUAUGCUAUUUGUGCUGAGAAAGAGCUUUUUAAAAAUCUUUUAGAGUAUAAAAAAAACAGGUAAAAAUAUCUUAGACAAACUUAUCUGUCCAUAAAUAUUAAUUAUAUCAGGACUUGCAUAGUAGAGACUUGUUCAGGGAAGUUUGCAAACUUGCCAUUUAGACAAAUGCAUUUUAUACAGAGCCUAUUGCAAAUGACAUUUAAUUUCCAGCAGAUACCUGGGGUCCUAGUUAGGGCACAUGCAGCUUAAAGCAUCCUGAUAUCUAUAUAAUUUCCUGCUUUUAUAUUUUUAUGUUUUGACUCACUUGCCUGGAAUUCUAUAUUUUGUCCUUUGGGAGUUAGCAUGACUGUAUGUUCUCUUGUUUUUUCAGACCACUUCCAUUCCAGCAGAAGUUAGGUGCUACUCGUCUACACCCCCAGAACAUCUUGUACAUAAUCAUGUAACUGAGCUCUAAUAUAAUUGCUUUUCUUACCUGCCUGCCCCACUGUAAUUUCAGGGGAAGCUGCAAUUGUGUUUAAUUCAUCUAUGGCCUAGCAAAAUACCUCAGUAUACCUCAAAAUACCUCAGUCGACACUCAGAAAGUGUUUGUUGAAAGGAUGAAAGCAGUUGAAGUUUAUCUUUGGGAUCCUCUCCUCUCCCUACUUGUUUCCCUUUUUUUCCUUUAUAGUGCCCCAGUUGCCUCACUCCAUCUUAUCAUUUUUAUGUCUUUAUCCAUUCUCUUCCUGACUUGCUAAUGGUUCCUAUUACCAGCUCCCUUCUAGGUUUGGAGAUAAGUUUACUUAUGUCAUAAAUUACAAACUUGGGGGAUCCCUGGGUGGCGCAGCGGUUUAGCGCCUGCCUUUGGCCCAGGGCGCUAUCCUGGAGACCCGGGAUCGAAUCCCAUGUCGGGCUCCCAGUGCAUGGAGCCUGCUUCUCCCUCUGCCUGUGUCUCUGCCUUUCUCUCUCUCUCUCUCUCUCUCUCUCUCUCUCUGUGUGACUAUCAUAAAUAAAUUUAAAAAAAUUUUUAAAAAAAGGUUAAAA